UACGGGGGGGGCAAGCGUUGUUCGGAAUUACUGGGCGUAAAGGGCUUGUAGGCGGCCAACUAAGUCGGAUGUGAAAUCCCCAGGCUUAACCUGGGAACUGCAUCCGAUACUGGAUGGCUUGAAUCCGGGAGAGGGAUGCGGAAUUCCAGGUGUAGCGGUGAAAUGCGUAGAUAUCUGGAGGAACACCGGUGGCGAAGGCGGCAUCCUGGAGCGGCAUUGACGCUGAGGAGCGAAAGCCAGGGGAGCAAACGGG
rnacentral:rRNA from 1 species